UGGGCUGUGGCUCAGUGGUAGAACAUCUGCCUUGAGUGCAGAAGGUUCCAGGUUCAAUCCCUGACAUGUCCAA